GAAACAAAUAUACAAUUGCAGCUGCUUAGCUAAAAAAUGUUAAUCGGAAGAAGCAAAAGUGGAUGGCGUGGUGCCAGUAAGAUGGUAUCGAUAUGAUCUAGUCUCAAUUAAGUUAGUCGCAGAGGAGAAAUAAAACCUGAAAACAAUUUCACUCUAUAUUUACUUGUUCAAGUGCCAGUGAAACGAACGAUAGAAAAAAGAAGCAUUUAAAAUGUUCGCAAAAUUUUUGGUUUGGAUACAAAAAACGAAGUGAAAAUGAUCCUGGAAAGACUGUUUACCGUUUAACUCCUGUCCCAAUCUAACCUAGUGGGUUCAAAAAGAAGGGACCGCGCUGGAAACACGAGUGGAUUAAAAGGAUCAGCCCUUUUUGAAUUAAUAGUCGAAGUGGUAACCAGCUAGAAGUCGUAACCUGCUCGUAUGAAAGGUCUUCUCGACGUGAAAUUAUUAAUUUUAUCCAACAACGCCAAGAAACAGAGCUCGCUCAAGAAACAGAAAAGAAAGAGAAAGAUGAAAAAAUAUUCUGUUGAACAAUAUUAU